GACAGAGGGUGCAAGCGUUGUUCGGAAUCAUUGGGCGUAAAGCGCACGUAGGCGGUCAUGUAAGUCGGAUGUGAAAGCCCAGGGCUUAGCCCUGGAAGUGCAUCCGAUACUGCAUGACUUGAGUCCCGGAGAGGGUGGUGGAAUUCCUGGUGUAGAGGUGAAAUUCGUAGAUAUCAGGAGGAACACCGGUGGCGAAGGCAGGUCACUGGGCCGCAACUGACGCUGAGGAGCGAAAGCAUGGGGAGCGAACAGG
rnacentral:rRNA from 1 species